GACGAACGCUGGCGGCGUGCCUAAUACAUGCAAGUCGAACGCAGUGGGGACGGGUGAGUAACACGUGGGUAACCGCCCAUCAGAGGGGAUAAAACGUAGAAACAGGUGCUAAAACCGAUACUGAUGAAUGGACCCGCGGGGCAUUAGCUAGUUGGUGAGGUAACGGCGCACCAAGGCCACGAUGCAUAGCCGGCCUGAGAGGGUGAUCAGCCACCCGGGGACUGAGACACGGCCCAGACUCCUACGGGAGGCAGCAGUAGGGAAUCUUCGGCAAUGGACGAAAGUCUGACCGAGCAACGCCGCGUGAGUGAAGAAGGUUUUCGGAUCGUAAAACUCUGUUGUUGGAGAGGCGGUAUCUAACCAGAAAGCCACGGCUAACUACGUGCCAGCAGCCGCGGUAAUUC
rnacentral:rRNA from 1 species